rnacentral:rRNA from 1 species
UGGGGAAUUUUGGACAAUGGGGGAAACCCUGAUCCAGCCAUCCCGCGUGUGCGAUGAAGGCCUUCGGGUUGUAAAGCACUUUUGGCAGGAAAGAAACGUCGCGGGUUAAUACCCCGCGAAACUGACGGUACCUGCAGAAUAAGCACCGGCUAACUACGUGCCAGCAGCCGCGGUAAUACGUAGGGUGCAAGCGUUAAUCGGAAUUACUGGGCGUAAAGCGUGCGCAGGCGGUUCGGAAAGAAAGAUGUGAAAUCCCGGAGCUUAACUUUGGAACUGCAUUUUUAACUACCGGGCUAGAGUGUGUCAGAGGGAGGUGGAAUUCCGCGUGUAGCAGUGAAAUGCGUAGAUAUGCGGAGGAACACCGAUGGCGAAGGCAGCCUCCUGGGAUAACACUGACGCUCAUGCACGAAAGCGUGGGGAGCAAACGGGAUUAGAUACCCUGGUAGUCCACGCCCUAAACGAUGUCAACUAGCUGUUGGGGCCUUCGGGCCUUGGUAGCGCAGCUAACGCGUGAAGUUGACCGCCUGGGGGAGUACGGUCGCAAGAUUAAAACUUAAAUGAA